GACGAACGCUGGCGGCGUGCUUAACACAUGCAAGUCGAACGGAAAGGCCCUGCUUUUGUGGGGUGCUCGAGUGGCGAACGGGUGAGUAACACGUGAGUAACCUGCCCUUGACUUUGGGAUAACUUCAGGAAACUGGGGCUAAUACCGGAUAGGAGCUCCUGCUGCAUGGUGGGGGUUGGAAAGUUUCGGCGGUUGGGGAUGGACUCGCGGCUUAUCAGCUUGUUGGUGGGGUAGUGGCUUACCAAGGCUUUGACGGGUAGCCGGCCUGAGAGGGUGACCGGCCACAUUGGGACUGAGGUACGGCCCAGACUCCUACGGGAGGCAGCAGUGGGGAAUAUUGCACAAUGGGCGGAAGCCUGAUGCAGCAACGCCGCGUGCGGGAUGACGGCCUUCGGGUUGUAAACCGCUUUCGCCUGUGACGAAGCGUGAGUGACGGUAAUGGGUAAAGAAGCACCAGCUAACUACGUG
rnacentral:rRNA from 1 species